AGCGAGAUCUUCGGAUCUAGCGGCGGACGGGUGAGUAACGCGUGGGAACGUGCCUCUUGCUACGGAAUAGCCCUGGGAAACUGGGAGUAAUACCGUAUGUGCCCUUCGGGGGAAAGAUUUAUCGGCAAGAGAUCGGCCCGCGUUGGAUUAGGUAGUUGGUGGGGUAAUGGCCUACCAAGCCGACGAUCCAUAGCUGGUUUGAGAGGAUGAUCAGCCACACUGGGACUGAGACACGGCCCAGACUCCUACGGGAGGCAGCAGUGGGGAAUCUUAGACAAUGGGCGCAAGCCUGAUCUAGCCAUGCCGCGUGAGCGAUGAAGGCCUUAGGGUUGUAAAGCUCUUUCAGCGAGGAAGAUAAUGACUGUACUCGCAGAAGAAGCCCCGGCUAACUCCGUGCCAGCAGCCGCGGUAAUACGGAGGGGGCUAGCGUUGUUCGGAAUUACUGGGCGUAAAGCGCACGUAGGCGGACUGGAAAGUCAGGGGUGAAAUCCCGGGGCUCAACCCCGGAACUGCCUUUGAAACUCCCAGUCUUGAGUUCGAGAGAGGUGAGUGGAAUUCCGAGUGUAGAGGUGAAAUUCGUAGAUAUUCGGAGGAACACCAGUGGCGAAGGCGGCUCACUGGCUCGAUACUGACGCUGAGGUGCGA
rnacentral:rRNA from 1 species